rnacentral:rRNA from 1 species
ACCUGCGGUGCAUUAACUAGUUGGAAGGGUAACGGGCCUACCAAGGCGAUGAUGCAUAGCCGAGUUGAGAGACUGAUCGGCCACAUUGGGACUGAGACACGGCCCAAACUCCUACGGGAGGCAGCAGUAGGGAAUCUUCCACAAUGGACGCAAGUCUGAUGGAGCAACGCCGCGUGAGUGAAGAAGGGUUUCGGCUCGUAAAGCUCUGUUGUUGGUGAAGAAGGACAGGGGUAGUAACUAACCUUUGUUUGACGGUAAUCAAUUAGAAAGUCACGGCUAACUACGUGCCAGCAGCCGCGGUAAU